UACGGGGGGAGCAAGCGUUGUUCGGAUUUACUGGGCGUAAAGGGCGCGUAGGCGGUCAGCACAAGUCCGUUGUGAAAUCUCCGGGCUUAACUCGGAAAGGUCAACUGAUACUGUGCGACUAGAGUGCGGAAGGGGCAACUGGAAUUCUCGGUGUAGCGGUGAAAUGCGUAGAGAUCGGGAGGAACACCAGAGGCGAAGGCGGCGACCUGGACAGAUACUGACACUAAACUACGAAAGCGUGGGGAGCAAACAGG
rnacentral:rRNA from 1 species